UUUCUCUCUCUCUCUCUCUCUCUCUCUCUCUCUCUCUCACACACACACACACACACACAGAGAGAGAGAGAGAGAGAAAGAGAAAGAGAAAGAGAAAGAAA